CGUGAGGGAUGAAGGCCUUCGGGUUGUAAACCUCUUUCAGUAGGGAAGAAGCGAAAGUGACGGUACCUACAGAAGAAGCACCGGCUAACUAUGUGCCAGCAGCCGCGGUAAUACAUAGGGUGCAAGCGUUGUCCGGAAUUAUUGGGCGUAAAGAGCUCGUAGGUGGUUCGAUACGUCGGAUGUGAAAAUCAGGGGCUCAACCCCUGACCUGCAUCCGAUACGGUCGAGCUAGAGUUUGGUAGGGGAGACUGGAAUUCCUGGUGUAGCGGUGGAAUGCGCAGAUAUCAGGAGGAACACCGAUGGCGAAGGCAGGUCUCUGGGCCAAUACUGACACUGAGGAGCGAAAGCGUGGGGAGCGAACAGGAUUAGAUACCCUGGUAGUCCACGCCGUAAACGGUGGGCGCUAGUUGUGCGAACCUUCCACGGUUUGUGCGACGCAGCUAACGCAUUAAGCGCCCCGCCUGGGGAGUACGAUCGCAAGAUUAAAACUCAAAGGAAUUGACGGGGCCCCGCACAAGCAGCGGAGCAUGCGGCUUAAUUCGACGCAACGCGAAGAACCUUACCAAGGCUUGACAUAUACAGGAAUAUGGCAGAGAUGUCAUAGCCGCAAGGUCUGUAUACAGGUGGUGCAUGGUUGUCGUCAGCUCGUGUCGUGAGAUGUUGGGUUAAGUCCCGCAACGAGCGCAACCCUCGUUCUGUGUUGCCAGCAUUAAGUUGGGGACUCACAGGAGACUGCCGGGGUCAACUCGGAGGAAGGUGGGGAUGACGUCAAAUCAUCAUGCC
rnacentral:rRNA from 1 species